UGGGGAAUAUUGGGCAAUGGGGGAAACCCUGACCCAGCAACGCCGCGUGAAGGAAGAAGGCUUUCGGGUUGUAAACUUCUUUUACCAGGGACGAAGACGUGACGGUACCUGGAGAAAAAGCCACGGCUAACUACGUGCCAGCAGCCGCGGUAAUACGUAGGUGGCAAGCGUUGUCCGGAUUUACUGGGCGUAAAGGGCGUGUAGGCGGAGCGGCAAGUCAGAUGUGAAAUCCCGGGGCUUAACCCCGGAACUGCAUUUGAAACUGUCGCCCUUGAGUAUCGGAGAGGCAGGCGGAAUUCCUAGUGUAGCGGUGAAAUGCGUAGAUAUCGGGAGGAACACCAGUGGCGAAGGCGGCCUGCUGGGCUUUUACUGACGCUGAGGCUCGAAAGCAUGGGGAGCAAACAGGAUUAGAUACCCUGGUAGU
rnacentral:rRNA from 1 species